rnacentral:rRNA from 1 species
GGCUCAGGACGAACGCUGGCGGCGUGCCUAACACAUGCAAGUCGAGCGAGGAGAUUCCUUCGGGAUGAUCCUAGCGGCGGACGGGUGAGUAACACGUGGGCAACCUGCCUCAUAGAGAGGAAUAGCCUUCCGAAAGGGAGAUUAAUACCUCAUAACAUUGCAGUUUCGCAUGGAACAGCAAUUAAAGGAGUAAUCCGCUAUGAGAUGGGCCCGCGGCGCAUUAGCUAGUUGGUGAGGUAACGGCUCACCAAGGCGACGAUGCGUAGCCGACCUGAGAGGGUGAUCGGCCACAUUGGGACUGAGACACGGCCCAGACUCCUACGGGAGGCAGCAGUGGGGAAUAUUGCACAAUGGGGGAAACCCUGAUGCAAGCAACGCCGCGUGAGUGAUGACGGCCUUCGGGUUGUAAAGCUCUGUCUUCAGGGACGAUAAUGACGGUACCUGAGGAGGAAGCCACGGCUAACUACGUGCCAGCCGCAGC